rnacentral:lncRNA from 10 species
GCACACCACAGCCUUCUCACCCUUAGGAACACUAGACAGCUCUGCAGCCCUACAUUUAGGGGCCAUUUUCAACAGCAACAUCACCAGUAAAAAGCACAAAAAUGUGGAAAAUGUGGAAAAUAUGGCACUAAAUAGACCAUGAAAAGGACACUUGUUUACAGUAUGAGAACUGGAACAGGAAGGCAGAGAGUCACCUUGUUUGACCUCAGCUAACAAAUGUUUUGCUGCUCUGUGCCUGUCUGUGAGUGACCACGAAGGC